rnacentral:sRNA from 1 species
AGAGAAGUAAGUGCCGCCCCGCACAGGGGCAACGCUAAUAGACGAAAAGCAAAUCAAGGAAAGGCCAACACCGCAGGAGUCCAGACACAACAUCAAUUAGAAGCCGCCGCAGCCUGAU